rnacentral:rRNA from 1 species
UACGGGGGGGGCAAGCGUUGUUCGGAAUUACUGGGCGUAAAGGGCGCGUAGGCGGCUCUUCAAGUCAGCCGUGAAAUCUCCGGGCUUAACCUGGAAGGGUCGGUUGAUACUGUCGAGCUAGAGUGUAGAAGAGGCAACUGGAAUUCCGUGUGUAGCGGUGAAAUGCGUAGAUAUACGGAGGAACACCUGCGGCGAAGGCGGGUUGCUGGGCUAACACUGACGCUGAGGCGCGAAAGCUAGGGUAGCAAACGGG